rnacentral:rRNA from 1 species
GAUCCUGGCUCAAGAUGAACGCUAGCUACAGGCUUAACACAUGCAAGUCGAGGGGCAGCAUUCCAGUUUGCUUGCAAACUGGAGAUGGCGACCGGCGCACGGGUGAGUAACACGUAUCCAACCUGCCGAUAACUCGGGGAUAGCCUCUCGAAAGAAAGAUUAAUACCCGAUGGCAUAAUAGAACCGCAUGGUUUGAUUAUUAAAGAAUUUCGGUUAUCGAUGGGGAUGCGUUCCAUUAGG